CCUACGGGAGGCAGCAGUGGGGAAUCUUGCGCAAUGGGCGAAAGCCUGACGCAGCCAUGCCGCGUGAAUGAUGAAGGUCUUAGGAUUGUAAAAUUCUUUCACCGAGGACGAUAAUGACGGUACUCGGAGAAGAAGCCCCGGCUAACUUCGUGCCAGCAGCCGCGGUAAUACGAAGGGGGCUAGCGUUGCUCGGAAUUACUGGGCGUAAAGGGAGCGUAGGCGGAUAGUUUAGUCAGAGGUGAAAGCCCAGGGCUCAACCUUGGAAUUGCCUUUGAUACUGGCUAUCUUGAGUACGGAAGAGGUAUGUGGAACUCCGAGUGUAGAGGUGAAAUUCGUAGAUAUUCGGAAGAACACCAGUGGCGAAGGCGACAUACUGGUCCGUUACUGACGCUGAGGCUCGAAAGCGUGGGGAGCAAACAGGAUUAGAUACCCUGGUAGUCCACGCUGUAAACGAUGAGUGCUAGUUGUCGGCAUGCAUGCAUGUCGGUGACGCAGCUACGCAUAAGACACUCCGCCGUCGGGAGGUACGGUCGCGAGAAUUAAACUACGAAGAAGUAGACGGCGUGAGACGUGCCGACGGACGACGACGAGGGAGGAGG
rnacentral:rRNA from 1 species